rnacentral:tRNA from 1 species
GGUGCCAUAGCUCAGUUGGUAGAGCAAAGGACUGAAAACCCUUGUGUCCCCGGUUCGAUUCCUGGUGGCACCA